rnacentral:lncRNA from 1 species
GACAUUAUGGAAGAUAGCGAAGUCAAGGCAUUUCGAAGGCAAAUUCCACUGAUCUUAGCCUGGGCGCUGAGUGUUCACAAAUGUCAAGGGAUGACUCUAGAUCCUCUAAGUACCGACCUAACCCGAGCUUUCGGAUCGGAGCUUCUUUCAAGGUCUUCAAACUCUGGUAAGUCUGCGAAAAUUGUUGAGUUGUGAUGGCUUUGACGACUAUUAUCUUCGUAUGAUAACUACUAUUUUUCUAUUUCAGUCAUUGUUAUUAAAUAACUUAAUUAUCUAUAACCUUUCCAUUUACUAUUUACACAAUUACAAUUGAUAAAUCCUAUCUCUUUUGAGCCUUUCACUGAACCCGAAUUGUGUUCCCUACACCUAUGAAUGUAAAAUCCUAGUUGUGACCUUUAAGUGCAUAACAUAAGUAUUUUUUAAUCAGUAAAAGCAAGAGCAUAAGCGAGCUAAAAUGGCUAAUCCUUUCUAGUCGUUGAAAGGAAGUAGCUUCGGUCGAAAAUUAAUUGGAUGGAGAUGGAAAGACUGAAGUAAACAAAAACAAAUAGUUACGGUAGAAUCAGUAAACCAUAACUAAGACAUCACCAUGAUACUUGAUCAAUAGCCAUAGACAAGAAGAACAAAGAAGAUGAUUGAACAAGAAAUAAAAAGAUGAUUGAACCCAAUAGCUAUUGGAGUAAACGCAGAUCGAACAAUAUCAAAGAAACAAUCAUCUUGGGUUUAAACCUAAAAUAGAGAAUAGGAAGAAGAAGUAUGUCAGAGGUAAAAUAGAGAACAGAGGUACUAGUAACUAUUAUUUGUGGUAACUAGAAAACAAAGGUACAUAGAAGACGGUUAACAGAGAAAACAGAAAACGCUACACAGAAGACGGUAAACAAUCUGAGGACGAAAACAAUAGGGGAAAUGAAAAAAAAUGAAGAAACUGAAGAGGAAGAAGAAACCGUGAACGUAAGAACAAACCUGGUAGGACAGAGGAAUACAAAAUAAAUUCAAAAACUGUUGAACGGCAUACCGAAUAUGAACAAGAAGAAGAUGUAAGAAACUGGAGAACGGUUUACCACCACAGAAAUAAAAGAAGAAGAAACCUAAAAGAAGAAGAAAAAUAGGGCCGAGAACAGAAGAUGAAGAAAUGAAGAAGAAGAAGAAGAAACUCAGGGAAGAGGUAGAUGAAAC